GGAUGUGAGGGAGAUCUGGCUGUCACCCCAUUGAUCAUCAGGGUUGAUUCGGCUGAUCUGACUGGCUAGGUGGGUGUCCCCCUCUUUCCUCACCGCUCCAUGUGCGUCCCUCCCAAAGCUGCAUGCUCGGUGGAAGAGGACGGCCAUCCCCGCUAGAGAAGAACUGGUCUUUGGUCAAGGGUAUACGGGUAGCUGCACCCGCUGCUAGAACCUCCAACCAAACUCCCAAGAAACAGAAGAAGUAACAAGUUGAGUUAUUAUCUGUAAAUAUAUUAAGUUAAAUAUUGGUUAUACU
rnacentral:snRNA from 1 species